UACAGAGGUGGCAAGCGUUGUUCGGAAUUACUGGGCGUAAAGGGCGCGUAGGCGGCCUUCUAAGUCAGACGUGAAAUCCCCCGGCUUAACCUGGGAACUGCGUCUGAUACUGGGAGGCUUGAGUAUGGGAGAGGGAUGUAGAAUUCCAGGUGUAGCGGUGAAAUGCGUAGAUAUCGGAAGGAACAUCAGUGGCGAAAGCGGCUUCCUGGACCAGUACCGACGUUCAGGCACGAAAGCGUGGGGAGCAAACAGG
rnacentral:rRNA from 1 species